rnacentral:tRNA from 1 species
UGCCGACCUGGAUGGGCCGGUCCGCGCGGUUGGCCACCGUGACGGCGGUCACGGGCCGCCCGGCGUUCAAUUCGAUGUCACCGUCC